CCAUCAUCCAUUUGUAAUCACGGUUGACCUUUAUUUACUUUAACACACCCCGUACAAAACCAAAAAUACCCUUUACUCUAUUUUUCGCUCUCUCCCGCAACUUGAAUCUCUCUCUGAAAUUGAAACACUCUCAAACUCCCCCAUAAUUUUGGUUUCAUCGGUUCGUGAAAAUUGAAGAACAUAAAUUGAGAACGGGGAUUGAAGAACGAAAAUUGAAGAACCGUCUUCAACACCAAUCAAUUUCAUCAAGGUUUCACGAACAAAAUCAACCAAUCUAGUAUAACUACAAAGGGAGGGUGAUAAGACUAACCAAUUCGUGUAGAAUGACUGAGCUCUUUCUGCAGCAAGUUUGUCGAAUUUUGAGUUGCUGAUAGGUUCAAAGAAGAUGGCAUUCAGAACGAUCCCUGCAUUCAGAACAAUCCUGUAUAUAUGUAUUACUGGUUUUAAGUUCAUUAGGAAUUAGGUUUCAUAGUGCUACAUGGAAAGGAAUUCUUUUUUUCAGGAAAAUUUGUUUUGAUUUUCCUCUCUUUAGGUUGUAACACUUGUAAUAAUACAAACCUGAUUACAAUAUCUUCACUUUCAUCUCGGAUCUGUCAUGAAAGAUACUGUCAAAAGUUAUCUUUUUCAAUCCCUUUUGCAGUAUAUAUCUUUGUUCCCAAAGGCCACACAAUUUCACCCUUAAAUUGCCAGAAAAAGUAGAGGGAUUAAGGGUCUGUAAAAGGGUAUUUUUUUAAUUGAGUUUUCUGAGAUUUUGGUUGAAAUUGGAUUGGGAGAAAAGGGGAGCAAGAAUGUUGGAAUUGAGGGAUAAUACUUGCUUCCCACGUGGAAUUGUUAUUGUUUAUGCUACUCUUGCAUGUGUUGAUGCGGCUAUUGCUGUGAUUGCAUUUUGUCAGGUUUUGGGUGGUUGUUGUUUUCGUCAAAUUGUAGAUGAUUGGCAAAUUCGUGAUCGAUGGAUUUAUGAGCUUAGUUUUAUGACUUUAUAGAGUACUAUUGAGAAUUUCGAAAAUUCGAGUGCAGGCUAUGAGAGUUAGUUAAUGGACAUGGAAAAAGAAAAUUAGGUUUUGGAUGAUUGAUGCCUUGUCCUAUUUUGGAUAAUUCGAGUACUAUUGAAUGUUUCUUGAUGCUUUCAAAACUCCAAAUGUAAACGCUGCUCCCUAAUUUUUGGGGAUUCAUAGCAUGCUAUCCGAGUUAUUUUUAUUAACUCAAGACGCUUAUGUUAAAUUCACAAGGUCUUUCACCCUUGCCUUGGGCGUUGUUAUCUUUUCGGUUCUUUCCUUGUCUUUUAAGCACUACAGGUUCUCGAAAGGGACUUCAAAUGAUAAUCGUCCUGGUUUCUGCGCCAUCUCUUAUAAAGAAUUCACACUCACAAAAGGCCUUGGCAAUAAUCAAGGCAGGUUCGACAAGAACGGGAUGACACAAGAAGAGCAUACCUCCCUCUUGGUGUUGUGGCCUAAGUAUUUUGUUACCUAUGUAGUGUGUAAUGGUCUAUAAAGAACUUAGUGGUUUAGUAAUUGUAGUAUAUAGUUUGUAAAACCUUUUCAAUUAUUAAGAAAACAACAAAGGAAUAAAACAAGUUUUUCAAUGUAUGCACCAUCCUA